CCACGUUAUGAUCACUGAAGUUAAGCAACGUCGAACCUGGUCAGUACCUAGAUGGGUGACCGCUUGUGAAAACCAGGUGCUGUAA